rnacentral:lncRNA from 1 species
UACGCUAAAAUUUGGGGGGACUAGGAAAUAUUGUCCAUUUUUUUUCGCUAUGCAAGUGGCACUCCAAUAAAAGUAUCAAAGUCUAGAUUCAAUUAACUUAGGGGCCGUCCAUAAAUGAUGGCAGGUACUUAAGGUGAAUGGGAGUCUAUGAUUUACUGAGCGGUAAUCCAGGAUUGCGCGAAAGGUCUAGGAAAAUAUAUGAGGAUUAGUUAGCUUGUUGACAAGUCAUCGAUGUCUUACCUUAGGAUGAUAAAUAAAGUAAUAAGAUUGAAUAACAGUCGUGGGGAUAAAGAAAUUUCUUGACUUUUCUCGGAAAAAAUAUUUAAUCAGGAGAAACGAGGCAACGUUGGAAUGCUCAAUCAGCGUCGAAACACAACAUACCUAGGCAAUUUAAGCUCUAGUAUUCAAUGCCGCAAUUAUUCUACCGCGAGUUCGAAUAAUCGCGCCAAAUACAGUGCGGGCGGCGUUAAACGUAUAUUAGCGCCUGCUAAACUCAAGGAAUACUUCAAGCAUUGCUCCAAACAGGGCGUUUUUGAAGUUAGCAUGUGUAUUCUACCCAAAAAUCUCUGGGCGUCUUUCACCGAAUGCCAUCGCUAAUAAUUUCAAGUACACAUCACACACUACGUCAGCAAAAUUCUGACUCAAGCAGUUUCUUUUUACUAUUUAGAUAGUUUGUGCAUGCCGAAAGGUACUAUGAUCAAACUCUGAGCUAAUAUUUGGUGUCGUCGUGCUGAGACAAAAUUCGAGAAAGACUGAGCAACCUGACGACCAUUGAAGUUGGUCACUGUACACGUACACCAACUAUAAGUUGGCAUGCUACCUUGAAAUCAAAAUACCACACUAUGCGCGGAUGUACAUACACUGAUCUUCUGUACAGAUACCACUUUCACUGCUCGUUGAAGCUCAUUGUGCCUACCUUUUCAGAUGAAGGCAAAUCCAUCCACACGCAUGCUCUCGGACCCUCGUUCAAAAUGUGCGCUCUCUUGUGAGCCAAAAGGUAUUCCAUUAAAUAGAAGUGAGUUUUCAACUCGUUUCUGCCCGGCCAUGCAAAAAGGUGUAUUCAUCAAAGGAAGGUUUUUGAUGCCUGAUAGAAAAGACGUACACAUCCAAACUCAAUGUGGCCCAUUUGUUUCCUGGUUUACUCCGUCUAUUGUUCAUAGACCUGCUGUCGGAGAAUGUUUCGGAGAAACAGGGAAAAGGAAGAAGGUGGUCGAAUUUUCAAUUGUUUCUGAGCGAAUAGUUACAUUGUCAUCCACUAAAGUCUCUGAGAAUUGCCUCUUUACCUUAUACUCGAGUUUACAUAAUAGUCAAACAGUACGAAAUCGGACCACCUCCAUGUUAAAUGCACGAUCACACUGUAUGCAAAUUUUCAUGUAA